rnacentral:lncRNA from 1 species
CGCUUCGCCCCCGGGCCCCCGGCGCGGCCGCCUGCCUGAGACUGGGCGCCGACCGGACGCCGGAGCCCUACUGCUGUGUCCACGGCCCCUCGGCCGGCUUAGGGGUACGAGCAAGGGCGCGCGGGAGCCGGGAUCGGGAGCAGAGAUGCGGCGUCCGCGUGCCCACUCCUUCCUCUCUCUGCCACAGCGCAUCUUCCGGGUCUCGCUCCUCCGCCCCCAUCGGCGCCGGACCCUCCGCGCCGGGCGCUUGGGAUCCGAGGCCCAGAAGAAGGGCCGCGCAUCUUAGGGGCGCCGCCAUCCAGGUCCGCGGAGUGUCUGCACUGGCUGUGGCCUACAGGGGACAGGCGUGGAGGUCGCGGCCCCGUAACCCAGGGUAAAGUGGAGCCGCUUGCUUCUGGGUACCAGCCGGGUUCCUCGGCUCAGAAGGGCACGCCUCGCCUGUGCCCCUGCGCGUCCGGGGAGUCACUUGGGACGCAAACGCUCCAGGGUCGCGCCCGCACCAAGCUCCCUCCCAGGGACAACGCCUCCUGGCCCCGCCCGGCCGGAAUCAUUUCCGCGUAGGGCAGGGCUCCCACUUCCUCUAAGGCCUCCGCUGGAGAACCCCACACGCUGGACGAGGUCUGGACGACUCUGGGCGGCGGGCACCCGCUAUGCACUGCCUUCUGGUGCUCGUGGGAACCGUUAUCUGCCUCCGAACCGAUGCCUCCAGGCCAGGGGGACCCUCGCUUCAGUGUCGCCGGUGGAACCUAGCAGCCCGGGCUGGUUCAGUCCAGGUUCUCUGGCCACGUCUGUUCCACAACUCACCUGGCGAGUGUGGCUGACUUCCACACGUCUUUACUGCUCACCUACUGUCUUUGAGGUGCGGGGUGCGGUGGGGACCCAAAGACAAAUGACGCACGGGAGGGAGUUGAUCUGGCCGCACCGCGGAGCAGGGCGCCUGCACGCAUCCCCUACUCGUUCGUUCUGUGAAGUUGGGGGGGCCACCAAAGGGCGCAGGCCCAGCUGGGUGUGCAGAGGUGCGAAGAGGACCCAGGCCGGGUCUCAGUUCUUAGAACGCAGGGUCAGGGGCCGGUGUCAGGGUCUGCGCGAUCUGAUCCUGUGUGCAGCCCCGGGAAUCCUGGCGGCAGGGCACCGCCUGGCGGGGGCGUGGGGGAGGCCUCUGUUGGGUGAAGUGGACUAGAGGACAAGACAGAAGCGGGGCAGCGAGCG